ACCCUGGAGAAAGAAUCUUACAAAGAAUACUAAAGAGCAUCCAAGUGUGAAGAAUGAAACACACAAUGCACAUGAAGUCCAGCCAUGGUGUAGCCAAGGAGACCCACUAAGACCACCAAAAGCUUGGAAAUGAGGAUGCAGGGGCAAAGGACGGCAUUAUAGGCGUGAGUGAUAAGAAAUUAUACAGGAAUGACACAUUUGGCAAUAAAGAACACAAAGAGAUAGUUCCUGGACCUGAACAGGAAAAGACGGUGCCAGGAUACUAUGAAGAAUCUUCACAAGCACUGAUUGAAUAGUAAACAAAUAUGUUUCUGCAUUUCUGACAACCAGAUGGCCGCACCUGGACCUGCCAACCAGUCCUGUGGCCCCCACCCAGGAAAUGACUCAGCAUAAGAGGACAGCUUUGACUCCCUAUGAUUUCAUCCCCGAGCCAAUCAAUCAGCACUCCUGAUUUACUGGCCUGCUACCCACCAAAUUAUCCUUAAAAACUCUGAUCCUUGAGUCUUCUGGGAGACUGAUUUGAGUAAUAAUGAAACUCUGGUCUCGUUUAUAGCCAGCUCUGCGUGAAUUAAACUCUUUUCUAUUGCAA
rnacentral:lncRNA from 1 species